AUGUGGCGAAUUCAGAAGGAUUUUUUUUUAUUGUUAGGGAGCUCUAACAGCAGACUGUCUACUUGAUGGGAUGCGGCGAUCGUCGUUCAUAUGUUACCACUCAUUUUUAUUCCAAGUAGUAGCGACCCGCCUCGGCUUUGCACGGGUGCAAUAUUUGUUUAUGUAACUUAUAAACUGUUCAACAUAUUUUAGUAAGGCUGGUAUUUUCGCGGUUGUGAAAGUUCUGCAUUAAUGGUCUCUAAAAUUUUAAAAUGAACGGCGUAUUUAGUAAUUUGACGUGCACACGUUUAUAUAUAUGUAAUAGUUUUUCCCUGCGCCCCUCACCUCCACGUCUCGUCUAUUGUUCUCGCAUGGCCAGCGGCAGCGAUAACGAAAUAAUUUUAUUUCGUAUUAUGUUCUGACCAAGUGCAUCAAUAAAUAAGCGAAUAAAUAAAAAGAAAACUUUAUCUCAAAGAAAUUUCCAAUUUAAUCAAAACUAAUAGCUAAAUCUAGCUAUUAGUUUUUAUAAGAAUUUAUAAAGUAUACAUGAAACCUGUAUCCAAACUUAAUCUUGUAAAAUUUAUUUUACUUUUAACAUAAAAUCCAUCUUUUUGGUUAAGAUGGAUGGUGUCGCGGACUAUUAAGCUAAAAGUAAUUCAUAUUUUUCUUUUAACUGUUCAGGCAGCUAACACCAUAUUAUAGAAUUUUUGCCGACUGCAAUUAUAUUUAUUGUGAUUAAUUAAUGAAAAUAUAUAUUUAUAAAAUAAAAAGUAAUCUACAGCACUGAGGGAUAAUAUACCUUUCUAUCAGUGAAAGAAUUGGAUCAGUAGUAUCGGAGAUUACUCCGAGCAUCUAAACUCACAAACUUUACCUUAUUAUAAUAUCUAUAUAAGAAAAUAUAGUUAAAUUUAAGCAAACUAUGUAUAUCAAACGUAUUUGUGACAUGGAAGAGUGCUUCAAGCACAUGGCCUGCUUGGCAACAGCAGGCCAAUACUUUUAUGGAAGAAAUCAAUCCUCAUAAGUAGGAUGUUAAUUAUUUUCUAUAUAGGUUAAGGUAGAUACUUGCCUGCCAAUAAAAUAUAUCAAAAAAUGCCGUUUUAAAUCUAUUAAUUUUUGUUUUUAUUGUUGUUUUAUUUACAUUUAUAUAUAUAAAAUAUAUAAAGUGUAUAAUUAAAUUGUUUGUAAAUUUUAGAUAAAAUUUUCAUGUGAACAAAAUGGAGGAACAUCAUUUUGAUAUAUGAGAAAAAAAAAUGUACUUAAAUUAGAAAUAAAAUAAGAUUUUGUUACACAAAAAACCAAGAUUAACCUCGAUAAAAUAAAUGUGAAAAACUGAUAUGGGAUAUUUUUUAUUUAAAAAUCAUUAAAUUUACUACAAAAUUAGAGAAGACAUCGCGUAAUAUAUACACAAACAUCUAUUUUUAGGUAGUUUAGUCAAAAUGAGAAUUCUGUUUUUGAAUUCGAUUUAAAAAUAACCUAUGAGCAAGAUAAUGAAUAUGAACUCGUAACAUUUUUAUUUAACUGACAUAUCUAUUCUUAAAAUCUAUAAAAACAGAAGCUAUAUCUUAGAUAUAAUUUUUCAUAGUCACAUUAAUUACUUAAAAUUUAACAAUGGCCGUUUGUAAUCGUCUCUUAUUUACAUAGACAUAAAGACUAUUCUGGGUUAAUUCGGGACGUAUAUGAGUUAAUAAUAAUUUUAGCUUAUCUGAUAAAAGAUAUUUGCCGAAUGCGGUAGCUUUUAUGUUUCAAUAAUACAUAUUAAUAAAUUGAUUAUUGUAACAUAUCGUUUUUAUUUCUUCUAGAUUAAUUUCGAAUUAUUAUAUACACAUAUCAUUCGGUAUCCUUAACGGAAAAUCUAAAAUAAUGUUGCAUAUUAUUAAGAUUUUAUCUUUUAUUUUAGGUUAGGGGUAGUCAACACCUGCGGCUUUGAUAACAUUUCUAUAAAAAAUAAAGAAUAAUUAUCAAAAUUGUUUGGAACUGGCGAAUAUAAAGCAUAACAAACAAUCGAGCUUACGACCCGCCUUAUGUUCAAGGCGACCUUAGGAUGGAGAGGAAUAAUUAAAAAUGUAUCUGGUCAAGUCAUAAUAGAUAAAUAAUAAAAUGAAAAACGAAAACAAUAUACUUAUUCUAAGAUAUUUAUGCCGAUUUUUAAGCUACGCUAGUACGGUGAGCAGAAACCAUCCUCUUAUAGAGAAACCCGUGUUUUCAAUGAACGUAACGAGGAAAUGAGUACUAACCGCUGAGACAGACGGAACACACGUAACCGAUGGUGAGCAGUUCGCGGUGACAGAAGCAGGCGGCGCGAUAGUCCACGCGGCCGCGCCCCGGCAGCACUAGUUGUCCGCGUUCUGAUGCGUCCGGGAGGAACACCCAC